rnacentral:rRNA from 1 species
UACGAAGGGGGCGAGCGUUGUUCGGAUUUACUGGGCGUAAAGGGCGCGCAGGCGGCUCAUUUUGUCAGGCGUGAAAGCCCCGGGCUUAACCUGGGAACUGCGUUUGAUACGGAUGGGCUAGAGUUCGGGAGAGGAGAGUGGAAUUCCCAGUGUAGAGGUGAAAUUCGUAGAUAUUGGGAAGAACACCGGUGGCGAAGGCGGCACUCUGGGCCGGUACUGACGCUGAGGAGCGAAAGCGUGGGGAGCAAACAGG